rnacentral:rRNA from 1 species
UACGUAGGGGGCUAGCGUUGUCCGGAAUCAUUGGGCGUAAAGCGCGUGUAGGCGGUCCGGUAAGUCCGCUGUGAAAGUCGGGGGCUCAACCCUCGAAUGCCGGUGGAUACUGUCGGGCUUGAGUGCGGGAGAGGCGAGUGGAAUUCCUGGUGUAGCGGUGAAAUGCGCAGAUAUCAGGAGGAACACCUGUGGUGUAGACAGCUUACUGGACCAUUUCUGACGCUGAGACACGAAAGCGUGGGUAGCAAACAGG